rnacentral:sRNA from 1 species
GAUCAGUGACAGGUGCUGCAUGGCUGUCGUCAGCUCGUGUCGUGAGAUGUUGGGUUAAGUCCCGCAACGAGCGCAACCCUUAUCUUUAGUUGCCAUCAGGUCAAGCUGGGCACUCUAAAGAAACUGCCGGUGAUAAGCCGGAGGAAGGCGGGGAUGACGUCAAGUCCUCAUGGCCCUUAUGACCUGGGCUACACACGUGCUACAAUGGCAGUGACAAUGAGCAGCAAUAGCGCGAGCUUUAGCUAACCUCAAAAAUCUGUCUCAGUUCGGAUUGAACUCUGCAACUCGAGUUCAUGAAGUUGGAAUCGCUAGUAAUCGUAGAUCAGCAUGCUACGGUGAAUACGUUCCCGGGCCUUGUACACACCGCCCGUCACACCAUGGAAGUUGGUUUUACCCAAAGACGACGCGCUAACCGCAAGGAGGCAGUCGGCCACGGUAAGGUCAGCGACUGGGGUGAAGUCGUAACAAGGUAGCCGUACCGGAAGGUGUGGCUGGAUCACCUCCUUUCUAAGAGAAUUUUAGAAAACUCUUCUAAAAUUUAAAUUAAAUCACCACCUUCACAUUCCUUUAUUUAGAGUUUCCAAAUGGGCUAGUAGCUCAGUUGGUUAGAGCACACGCUUGAUAAGCGUGGGGUCGGAGGUUCAAGUCCUCCCUGGCCCACCAGUUAGGGGGCGUAGCUCAGUUGGGAGAGCGGUAGCUUUGCAAGCUAUAGGUCGUCGGUUCGAUCCCGUCCGCCUCCACCAACUUGCCUUAAAAAUCGUUUUUUGACAUUGUGAAUAUUAAUAUUAAGUAUAUUGAAAACUUCAAUUUUGAAUUUUUUUAUAUUUUGUGUAUAAAAAAAGUUUGAGAGUUCAAUAAAGUAUGAAAAGGGCGUUUAGUGGAUGCCUUGGCAUUGAGAGGCGAUGAAGGACGUAGCACGUUGCGAUAAGCUUCGGG